rnacentral:rRNA from 1 species
UACGUAGGGUGCGAGCGUUAUUCGGAAUUACUGGGCGUAAAGCGCGUGUAGGCGGCCAUGCAAGUCGGAUGUGAAAGCCCUCGGCUCAACCGGGGAAGUGCACUCGAAACUGCAAGGCUAGAGUCUCGGAGAGGAUCGUGGAAUUCUCGGUGUAGAGGUGAAAUUCGUAGAUAUCGAGAGGAACACCGGUGGCGAAGGCGGCGAUCUGGACGAUGACUGACGCUGAGACGCGAAAGCGUGGGGAGCAAACAGG